UUAGUGGCGGACGGGUGAGUAACGCGUGGAUAACCUGCCGUAUACCGGGGGAGUAACACUUAGAAAUAGGUGCUAAUACCGCAUAAGCGCACGGCUCCGCAUGGGGCAGUGUGAAAAACUCCGGUGGUAUACGAUGGAUCCGCGUCUGAUUAGCUAGUUGGCGGGGUAACGGCCCACCAAGGCAGCGAUCAGUAGCCGGCCUGAGAGGGUGGACGGCCACAUUGGGACUGAGACACGGCCCAAACUCCUACGGGAGGCAGCAG
rnacentral:rRNA from 1 species